rnacentral:rRNA from 1 species
AUUGAACGCUGGCGGCAGGCCUAACACAUGCAAGUCGAGCGGAUGACGGGAGCUUGCUCCUUGAUUCAGCGGCGGACGGGUGAGUAAUGCCUAGGAAUCUGCCUGCAGUGGGGGACAACGUUUCGAAAGGAACGCUAAUACCGCAUACGUCCUACGGGAGAAAGCAGGGGACCUUCGGGCCUUGCGCUAUCAGAUGAGCCUAGGUCGGAUUAGCUAGUUGGUGGGGUAAUGGCUCACCAAGGCGACGAUCCGUAACUGGUCUGAGAGGAUGAUCAGUCACACUGGAACUGAGACACGGUCCAGACUCCUACGGGAGGCAGCAGUGGGGAAUAUUGGACAAUGGGCGAAAGCCUGAUCCAGCCAUGCCGCGUGUGUGAAGAAGGUCUUCGGAUUGUAAAGCACUUUAAGUUGGGAGGAAGGGCAGUAAGUUAAUACCUUGCUGUUUUGACGUUACCGGCAGAAUAAGCACCGGCUAACUCUGUGCCAGCCGCCGCCGUAA